rnacentral:lncRNA from 1 species
AAUUUUCAUCCAUUUAUAAUUGGCUUUAGAAAUCAGCACAUAAACCCUCCCAACUCAUUUCUCUUGGUUGGCCAAAGAAAAAAAAGGGAAGAAAAAAAGAAGAACAAAACCCUAGCUAAGAAAUUCAAGGGAAAAUCACUAGAUUUCAAGGAAUCAAGACAUCAAAGGUGAAAUUUCUUAACUCUAGCUUGUGAUCUAUCUUUCCUAUGCAUUCUUUUGCAUUUUCCAUGGUUGAAUCACAAGAUAUCAUGAAGGAUUCAUGGCUGACCGAAUUUAGAGAGAGAAAAUUUGAUGAUUUAUUUGGUUAGAAUUUGAGAUAUUUUAGUGUUUUUAGUUGAUUUAUCAUGUUUGGAAGGAAAACAAGUAAGAAAAAUCACAUAUUCUUCAUGGAUUCUUCAUUGGCCGAAUUUCAUAAAGAAAAUAUUCAACAUGAAUCUUGUGAUGUCUUAUGUUAUUUAGUUAAAAUUUAAUGAAUUGUGGUGGUGGAAACCGAAAAUGGUAAUGUUUAGCAUGAAAAAUCGUAUACCCCUCAAGAACCUCCAUGGCCAAAUUUUUGAAGAGAAAAUGUGAGGAUGAUUUUACCAUAUUUCAAGUUAUUUAAUUUGUGUUUGAUGAUUUGGAGUAUUGGAAGAGAAAUGGAAUUAUUUGGAGUUGAAUUGGACGUAUUGGCCAAUUAAUCGGGUGAUAGAUCGAAUUAGUCUAAUACCAUUUUAUUUAGGUACACAAUUGAACUUAUAUUGAACGUCGUAUUUAGAUGGUUACCCGAGCAUUUCACAUCCCAUUUCAUGCAUUAGUAUAAAGCCUGAAUUAGUUUUAUAACAGUUUAGCACAAAUGUAGUAAAUGGCUUAUUGUGCAUUAUGUCAAGUGGUGAACAUUCUGGCAAAAGUAAAGAGAUAGUACCCGAGGAUCAAGAAUCUGAGUACUCGAAACUCGAUUCCCAUUACAAUGAGUAACCUUAUUAUCAUCUUAAUUAUCUAAAGUAUGUUUUUAUCCGAUUUUGUAAUUUUAUGAAAAAUGUGUUUAAAUGAAAUGAUUUUAUAAAUUGUUUUGAAAUUUAAUGAUGACUUGAAAAUGGAGUAAUUGGAGACUACUUGCUGUAUUGUAAAUUAUGUUUUGAAUUGAAUGCCUUAUGAUAAUGUGGGCAUGAAUGGCUGGAUGGGUAUUUAUAUUGAAAAUGUAUAAACUGUUGUUUGCCUUGAUAGGCUGGAUAAUGAUAAAAUUGCCAUGUCAUGCUAUUGAAUUUUAUUGAAUUGGUGAGUUAUAGAUUGGUCACUGCAAUGGCAGGAUCUGUGGAUCAGCCUAUUAGAGGGGCACGAAAUCCGGUUAUAUUCUUACCUCCGUCGGAGAGGCGCGUAGUGUAUCUCCUGGGGUAUGGUUAGAGUUCAAGUCACGCCGAACCACCACGUGAAGAUGAACUCCGCUAACGCCAAGGAACAGCUGUGUUUUCUAACGUGAAAAUAUGUUUACGUGUAUAUGAAAUUUUUGACAGCCUUGGCGGACUUGGUUGGAUACCUCUGAUCAAGGUGUCAUUGAGCACAAGUUUUGGCACGAGCCAAGUUUUAAGAAAUUCAUAAGCCAUGUUGAUUACUCAAUUUAAAUGAAUUGAUUUUAUUUGGUUGAAAUGAGUUGAAAGGUGAUGAAUUACAGUAUGAUGAUUUAUUUCAAUCAUCUCCAUUUACUCGACUUUAGAUAUUUUAGAUGAUGUUUGUUUACUCACUGGGAUUAUAUAAUCUCAUCACCCUCUUUUCCACCUAUUUCAGGCUCAAGAUAGUUUGUAGAUAAUUGAUAUCGUCGAAGACUACAGCUGGCUUUACUUCCUCAAAAAUCGUAAGUUCGCAGCCUUCGUUCACUUUUGUCAUUUGAGGGCCCACGUGUCAUUGUAAAUUAAAUUACAUACCUUGACUAUCUGUAUUACAGUAUGUAUGAAUUAUUUCGCUUUUACACUACGAAAAUUUCUUACAGAUAACUCUAUAAAAAUUGUUUUAUAA